rnacentral:lncRNA from 1 species
AGAGCAAGCGAGUUAAAGUAAAGAAUCUUCGCCAAGACAUUCCCUUGUAGUAAGGACUUAAAAAAAUCUCCUAAAAAUUUGUAAAUUUUAAUUACUAAACUCACAAUAAAACUGUUAAAAUUUACGGAGACGGAAACCCUUUUUACGUAUUGAUUUACGAGAGGUUAAAUUUAAUUAAAGUAAUCGUGAUUAAAACUCUUAAAAAUAAUGGACUUUUUUACUUUAAUACUGUGCAUUUGAGAUGAAUGUAUUAUGGAACUCGCCCCUUGGGUUCGAAUCUGCCGCGAAAUUACAAUCCAAACAUGCGACGUGCGCGCGCAGCAGAGCCUCACUUUUGGAGGCCCCUCAUCUCUCCCGUGUGUGGCACCCUGUUUUCAUGAGUGCUAGUAUACCAAUAUUGUUUAUCACUACUUUUCGUGAUCAUUUGAGGUUAUGUCCAACUCUUGCGUCCCGGCCAGACCGACUGCUCCAUUUGACAUUAACAGUCUAGCAAUUCUAGAAUCCACAUAGAAAGCAGGAUGGUCAGGCAUUAUAAGAAAAAGAACAGAUCUGUGCGAAAUGGUAAGGUCUUCAAGGCGUAUUGCGCCUACUCGCAGGACAGAUUGGAGGUUGCUGUAAACCUGGUCAGAAACAGAAAAUGUCUAUCCUAGGACUUGUUACCUAAAACUUAACUUGUCAUUUUUUAAAACUUUUGACCCUUAAAUUUUGUAAAUUUGCAUGUGCCUACAUUUCCUUAACUUCAAUGUGCCUAAAUUCCCCACGAUUACAAUUACUGUUUUCUAUUUCUGUGUUACUUUGCUAAAAAUUAUAUAUUUUCAUCAAUUUUUUCAGUUUUUGUACUCAAAUAUCUUUUUUUAAAACUUGGUUUACCUUCCCAAAUAGCCCCCUGUAUGAGGUUAUUUGAUACCAGCUCAUAACAUAUGGCUUUAGUGCUAUUUCCCAAAUUACCCCCAUCAAGGGGCAAUUUGGGAAACAUCUUUCAAAAUUUUUUUACCCCCCCAAAAAGGGGAGGUAAAAUAAGUCAACCCUAAUUUCUUAUGCUUUGGGGUCGGAACUUUCCAAAAUGCCCUGUUUGUUUUGAAAUUAGUGGGAAUUUCUAGUUAAAAAUUCUAAAAAACUGCAAAAAAUUUCCCAAUUAGCCCCGAUUGACGGUACAUAUUUACCUACCCUUCAAUUGGGGUAAAAUCGGGCAGGGACCGUCAAAAGAAAUGACGCGUGGACCUAUUUUUGCGGCGAAUUUAGCGUCGCGCAUAAUCCAGGGAAGGGAGUAAGGUCGAGUGUUCGCAAAUAACUCUCGUAUUGCGUUUGGUGCAAUGCGAGAAGUAUUCAUGCAGUCUUGUAGGCGCUAACAUGCGUUUGAUGCCGACUGCACUGUUUGGCGCAAUGCAUGAAGUAUUCCUGCAGUCUUGCAGGCGCUGAUAUGAGUUUGACGCCGACCGCACCGCACCGUGUUGGGCGUGAUUAAUCGAACUCGCGUUAAGAUAAUCGCAGCAUCGAAAAAUGUGGCUUAAUAUGCCCAUGAUUUGUUUCGACGCCGUAUAAGCACUUCAACGUUGCCUCGUUUCUCACGAUAAAAUAUUUUCUCUGAGGAAAGUUCUGUACGUUCGCUAUUUUGGGGUUGAAUGGACAUUGAACAAGGUACGGAUUUAAGCACUCAGAUACAUGAUUCUUCACUAGAAUUUCACGUAGAACACGAUUCGCGCGACGGAAACUACUGGGAUGAACUUCUAGCUUAUAUUAACGUUUUAUUGUCCAUUGGUUACGGGAACUUUGAAUUGCCCGGUCACAAGAAAAAAAAAAAUAUACAUGAGUCAAAUUGCGCACUGCAACGGCUUUAGCAGACUAAAUACUCAAUUGAGCAAUGUUCCUUUCCCACACUGUGUUGUUCAAAGUGUGUACAGCUUGAGCUGAGCGUCAAGAUUGAAGUUGCCAUAUUUUCAUAUCACUGAUAUUGUCAACCUCUUUCAUAUUGCACCUGUGUCCUGGUGUUCCCUCCUCCUACCCUGUGCACAGCACCUCCAAACCAUUAAAGAAAAAUAAAUCUAAAUACAUACCAUAUAUCUAGAUAAAAUUAAUAAUUUUUAAUUUAAAAAUAUAUGUACCCCACUUUGUGUUAUCACUGUGUUGAGCAUGUACUGCCGCUCAGCAUCAUCCGAAACAUUUCCAAAGUUUACUAAUUAGAAGUCUAAAGUAUAUUAAUGAAUUUCAAAUUUGUGAAAUGUUCAUGACUUCUCCCAAAUUGCAUGGUAUUUCAAAACAUGAAUCCAUUCAGGACAAGAUCCUCCCGCGUUUUCAAACUUCCCGCUCGUUUAAGUUCCUGAUGACGUCAUUUGGCAAGAAGAGAGGGGAAAUGUUUGGUUGCGUUCCAGAAUUCAUCUUUUUGAUGGAUCGUCAAUCGGUUGUAUAGUAGAACAUGGCGUCAUGCUGACGUAACCGAUGGAGUCUGAUGGAAAGUCAGAUGACGUAUCUUCGAUUGAUCCCAAAAACGCUUUGAUGAAAUUUUCGAUGACGAGUUUGUUUUGUUUAUUAUUAUCACUUAUCAUCGAAACAUGGCGAAACAAUCUAUAAUAUCUGUUUUCUUCAAUUUUAAGUGUUUGGGGCUUCAUUUCAGUAGCGAAAUUGCUGGCAAUUCAGUCCUUUGAGUUUUUCGAUUAUUCUGUAGGAUUUGUUUUGAGUCUUGUCCUUCCAUCUGUUAAAGUUUACCCAAGUGAAGUUGCUAUCCUAGAGUGUUUUGCUUUCUUGAUGUUACUUGUAACUGCUCUCUGUGUCAUUUGGACACCUUAUAUUUAUUUUCACAUGAUAUCUUUCUGCUUACAUGCUAGAGAUCUGAUGUUUGAUCUCACCAGCUGAUUAAAGGCAGUCGAAACAGAUGUUUCUGUAUGGAUCGUCUGUCCGUUUAAGUGUUAGUAAGCAUUUCUCUCAAUACAUAAGUAGUCCUGAUCGCUUUCUCAGUGGCUUGUCGCUACUUUGUUCGCACACAUCGCUGAAGACCCCAACAACUUCAGGCGAGAAGUCAACCAUUGAGGAGAGCCUUUAAGUCCUCAAGAAGGAAGCUGAGCCACUGAAUAUUUCUUGAGAACUAAGGUUGUGCAGAUGGACCUGCAAGUUUGCUUGGUUUCAGGAAAUUUUAUUGGCAGGCACUGUAACAUGGCAUUCAUUGGAAACAAUCGCAGCAAAACCUUGGAAACUAUCAAUAUUAUUAAGUGAGUUAGAUAGCAUCUCAGCAGAUUCAAUCGUGCUCUGCGUCAGAGCUCAGUACUGAGACUUCCGCAGACCGUGUUCAUUCUUUGACACUUUGUGCAAAGAAGUUUAGUCCUGUUCUACAAAAUUUAGGAUGAAAAUCUCAUAUUUUGCAUACUCUUCGAAGUACUUAGACCAACGAAACUUCUCCUAGUGAAAAUUAAUUAUAAAUACAGAUAGGAGGCUGUUCAUUAAAUAUAUGGCGCUCAAUUUUGGAUUGAUCCCUCUCCUUUCCCUAUGGUAAUGCUUUUGUGACCUACGGGCCCCACUAACGUCAGAACAAAACG